AACUCGAUCUCAAAUCAAGUAAGACUACCCGCUGAACUUAAGCAUAUCAAUAAGCGGAGGAAAAGAAACUAACAAGGAUUCCCCUAGUAACGGCGAGUGAAGCGGGAUGAGCUCAAAUUUAAAAUCUGGCUGGUUUACUAGUCCGAAUUGUAGUUUAUAGAAGCGUUUUCGGUGGCAGCCUGGGUAUAAAUCCUUUGGAAUAGGGUAUCAUAGAGGGUGAGAAUCCCGUCUUUGACUCAGUGCAUGCUACUAUGUGAUACGUUUUCAAAGAGUCGAGUUGUUUGGGAAUGCAGCUCAAAAUGGGUGGUAAAUUUCAUCUAAAGCUAAAUAUUGGCGAGAGACCGAUAGCGAACAAGUACCGUGAGGGAAAGAUGAAAAGAACUUUGAAAAGAGAGUUAAACAGUGCGUGAAAUUGUUGAAAGGGAAACGUUUGACACCAGUUAUGCGGGUGGAAAAUCAGUCUUUUGCAAUGGGGAGUUGUGGGCGUUCAGACCGCAAGGCUGGCGUUUGCUUCAUCUUUGUUGUAAGUGAUGCACUUUUUCAUUUGCAGGUCAACAUCAGUUUGCUUUGCUGGACAAAACCCCAAGGGAAGGUGGCAGCUUAGGCUGUGUUAUAGCCCUGGGGCGAUACAGUGGAGUGGACUGAGGUUUCGCAGUGUGUGCUCUCGGGCAAGGCUGACUGGGUGCUAUGGGAUCGUUCGGCGUACAAUGCAUGCAUUUUGCGUCGUGUCUUUUUCAUACUCGCUCAACUCGGCUCUUCCACACUUAGGAUGUUGACUUAAUGGUUUUAAACGACCCGUCUUGAAACACGGACCAAGGAGUCUAACAUAUAUGCAAGUGUUUGGGUGGCAAACCCAUGCGCGUAAUGAAAGUGAACGUAGGUGCGAUCCGCAAGGUGCAGCAUCGACCGAUCUUGAUAUUUUUGGAUAGAUUUGAGUAAGAGCAUAUAUGCUG
rnacentral:rRNA from 1 species